rnacentral:lncRNA from 1 species
GACAAAUGACCAUAAAUUUAGUGGCUUGUUUCUAUGAGAAGACUGGCGCAGCUUGGCUGGUUUCUCUGGGUUAAAUUCAAGGCGUCAACAGAACAGCAUUCCUUAUGGGGUCCUGAAGGAAGAAUCUGUUUCCAAGCACACCCAUGUUUUUGGCAGAUUUCAGCUCCUUGUAGUUGUAGGACUGAGGUCUCCAUUUCCUUGGCUCUUGGCCCCUCUGUCUUCAAGCCAACAGUGGCUUUUGAACCCUCCUCAGAUUUUCAACCUGCCUUCCCCUUCUGAUUCUCUCUCUCUGCUUUGAAGAGCUCACAUGAUGACAUUAGCUCCACAUAGGUAACCGAGGAUAAUCCCCUCUCUGAAACUCAACCAAUUAAUAAUCUUAAUUACAGCUGCAAAAUCUCUCUGCCAUGUAAAUAACAUAACAUAGCCAUGGGUAUGAUACCAGGGGACUAAAGGUCCCAGAAGCCAAAUCUCUGUCUACUGCAGGUUCAUAGGAGUUCAUGCCACUAUUCUUUUGUUACCUUUAUCUAAGUUUAAGGUUACAUCCAAACAAAAACGUUACAUAGAUUCAUGAAUACAGUGCAUGGAAUUGGAAAGCUGUAGUUGUGGUGUUGUUGAUCCUCUUGGUAGUUCCAUUUCUUCCUAACAGUCCUGGGUCUCUUUUGUUCCCCUCUUAUCCACCAGGUCACCAGCAAAUCAAGCAAGGGACCUGUGAGGUGGUUGCAGUACACAGGUGCUGUAACAAGAACCGCAUAGAGGAGCGAUCCCAGACGGUCAAGUGUUCUUGCUUCCCAGGACAGGUUGCUGGCACGACUCGGGCUCAGCCCUCUUGUGUUGAAGCUUCCAUUGUGAUUCAGAAAUGGUGGUGUCACAUGGAUCCUUGUUUGGAAGGAGAGGACUGCCGAGUGCUGCCCGAUUACUCAGGUUGGUCCUGUAGCAGUGGCAACAAAGUCAAAACUACCAAGGCAAGUAUAGACGGAAUGCAACUGCACGCAACAGCUUCCGCACGCUGUAGCCUGCCCCCUACAUUCAUCCUGCCGCCAAGAGGGAGGGUAAAGUUCCGUGGGCAAUGCCCCGCUAGGAGUGGGGCCCUGUGAAAGGCCCAUUUCUCAGCAUCACCCUCCAUUUCGGAUUUAUGGAGUCGUGACUGGUGGAGGGAUGCCUUAUCUGAAGCAGGGCUCCUGAAUUCAUUUCAGCUCCUUCACGGGCCAAUUUAAAGUAAAGGUUUCACAGUUGACAGUCCCGUGCAUCAAACGAGUGUAGCCAGACCCCACAUCCUGGUGACUCACUGAAAUAGAAUACCUGCCACCUCGGUGGAGAUUUAGUCUGGCUGAAUUGGCUGAAGACUCCAAGUCAAGCCUUUGUAAGUCGUGUUUCCUCCCCAUUCAUCCUCGUUCUAGUUGUGUCUCUGAAACACUCCAUUUUCUACCCAGUUCUUGAGCCAGGAACUGCACUUCUUUCUCCUCUCCUGCCGUCCACGCUCUUGUUUUGUCUUAGGGACUGGUACUUCCACGCCCCGCCCCCUCUCUGCAUCACCAUAGUUACCAUCCCCGGGUGGUCUCUGCUGUGUCUGGAUGACCAAGGUUGCUUCCUCAUAUCCACUCUUGCUUCCCUUCCUGCCUGUUCUCCAUAGAAUGGAGUCAUUUUUGUCAAUUGCAGAUCUGCUAAGCUAGUCCACCCCCAAAUCUCUUGAGUGGCUUCUCUGUGCUCCUUAGCUCCCCUCUGCUUGUGUGGCCCUCACUAAAACACUCCGCAGAGCACCUACCUUUGUUCUUUCUGCUCCAACCAUCUCAGCCUCGGUUAGUCCUUCCCGUGGCGCAUUUCUAGCUGCAAAGGAAUGCGCUUUCUGCCAUCCUUCUCUAGAACAAAACCGUUCUUCAGGGAAUCCUUCACUGAUAGGAUGCACAUCCCUUGUAUCUCUGAGUGCAUUAUGUAAAACACAGUUCACAGGCCUUGCUCCACUUACUUGCUUCAUUCUGUCAGCUUCCUGUCUGGGAGGAGAGCGGUGAAGUCAGGGCCUCUUGCUGAGUCGCUCACCUAAUAGUCCCAGAGCUGGCUGAAUAUCUCUGUACUGUUUCUUGUACAAAAAUUAAUAAAACAGGUCAGUCUAGGAUUCUAAUGAGCUAC